rnacentral:rRNA from 1 species
UACGUAGGGGGCAAGCGUUGUCCGGAAUUAUUGGGCGUAAAGGGUGCGUAGGCGGGUCUUUAAGUCAGGGGUGAAAUCCUGGAGCUCAACUCCAGAACUGCCUUUGAUACUGAGGAUCUUGAGUUCGGGAGAGGUGAGUGGAACUGCGAGUGUAGAGGUGAAAUUCGUAGAUAUUCGCAAGAACACCAGUGGCGAAGGCGGCUCACUGGCCCGGUACUGACGCUGAGGUGCGAAAGCGUGGGGAGCAAACAGG